GGAGCGGCCAGGGCCUGGUGGCCCGUCCGGUCUUCAAAACCGGGAGGGGCGCGGCAGACCGCGCUGGAAGGUUCGAAUCCUUCGCCGCUCCG
rnacentral:tRNA from 1 species